CAGACAGUGAUCAUAGGCUCCUACCUGAUUGCCCACGGUUUCUUCAGUGUCUACGGCAUGUGCGUGGACACACUGUUUCUCUGCUUCUGUGAGGACCUGGAAAGAAAUGACGGCUCUCAGGAGCGACCCUACUUCAUGUCGCCCGAGCUCAGAGACAUCCUGUUGAAGGGGAGUGCGGAGGAGGGGAAGCGGGAGGAGGUCGAGGAGUAGAGAUGGAGGACCUCGAGAGGAACGAUGGCUCUACCGAGAGACCUUAUUUCAUGUCUUCCACCCUCAAGAAGCUCUUGAACAAGACCAACAAGAAGCUCGGGGAGUCCUGAAGGCCCGCACUCCCCCACCUCCUGGGGGUCUCUACCCAGUAUCCUGUCACUGCCGCUCUGCUCCCUCCCCAUGAGCCGGUUCCCAUCAGUUUCCAGGGACCCAGAGGACAGGGCAUCUCUCCUUAUGCCAAGGGGCACUUGGAGUGUUCACAGCAGCCCCCACAGCUGCAGAAGGAUCACUCUGGCCCUCACUGGCCUGAGGGGAGAAAUGUGGUGGGGCCUUGGAUGGCUGGGAUGGGAUGUGACCCGACCUCCGCAGCCUCCCUCACACUUCGUCUCCCUCUUACUGCAAUGGGACAGAAAAAAAGGGGAAGGACCGACCAUGUUUGUGUCUGAGGCAGCCGCGGGCCACAGUGAACAUCCCUGUUUGCUUCCGCCUGUUCCGGCCAGGACUGCUCUCCACAACCGAACAAUUGGCUCAAGGCCGCCACGAGCAUUUCUUUAUUAUUAUUUUUUAUCCAGGACAUGCAUUAAAGGGGCUAUUAGCUUUUUUCCAUCUGUCUCAGCAAUGGAGACCGCCCA